AGUUUGAUCAUGGCUCAGAUUGAACGCUGGCGGCAGGCUUAACACAUGCAAGUCGAGCGGGGAAAGGUAGCUUGCUACCUAACCUAGCGGCGGACGGGUGAGUAAUGCUUAGGAAUCUGCCUAUUAGUGGGGGACAACAUUCCGAAAGGAAUGCUAAUACCGCAUACGCCCUACGGGGGAAAGCAGGGGAUCUUCGGACCUUGCGCUAAUAGAUGAGCCUAAGUCAGAUUAGCUAGUUGGUGGGGUAAAGGCCUACCAAGGCGACGAUCUGUAGCGGGUCUGAGAGGAUGAUCCGCCACACUGGGACUGAGACACGGCCCAGACUCCUACGGGAGGCAGCAGUGGGGAAUAUUGGACAAUGGGGGGAACCCUGAUCCAGCCAUGCCGCGUGUGUGAAGAAGGCCUUUUGGUUGUAAAGCACUUUAAGCGAGGAGGAGGCUACUUAGAUUAAUACUCUAGGAUAGUGGACGUUACUCGCAGAAUAAGCACCGGCUAACUCUGUGCCAGCAGCCGCGGUAAUACAGAGGGUGCAAGCGUUAAUCGGAUUUACUGGGCGUAAAGCGUGCGUAGGUGGCCAAUUAAGUCAAAUGUGAAAUCCCCGAGCUUAACUUGGGAAUUGCAUUCGAUACUGGUUGGCUAGAGUAUGGGAGAGGAUGGUAGAAUUCCAGUGUAGCGGUGAAAUGCGUAGAGAUCUGGAGGAAUACCGAUGGCGAAAGCAGCCAUCUGGGCCUAAUACUGACACUGAGGUACGAAAGCAUGGGGAGCAAACAGGAUUAGAUACCCUGGUAGUCCAUGCCGUAACGAUGUCUACUAGCCGUUGGGG
rnacentral:rRNA from 1 species